GUUGAACGCUGGCGGCAUGCCUAAUACAUGCAAGUCGAGCGAACAGACGAGGAGCUUUCUCCUCUUACGUUAGCGGCGGACGGGUGAGUAAAACGUGGAUAACCUACCUUUAAGACUGGGAUAACUUCGGGAAACCGGUGCUAAUACCGGAUAAUAUAUUGAACCGCAUGGUUCAAUAGUGAAAGACGGUUUUGCUGUCACUUAUAGAUGGAUCCGCGCCGGAUUAGCUAGUUGGUAAGGUAACGGCUUACCAAGGCAACGAUGCGUAGCCGACCUGAGAGGGUGAUCGGCCACACUGGAACUGAGACACGGUCCAGACUCCUACGGGAGGCAGCAGUAGGGAAUCUUGCGCAAUGGGCGAAAGCCUGACGGAGCAACGCCGCGUGUGUGAUGAAGGUCUUCGGAUCGUAAAACUCUGUUAGUAGGGAAGAACAAAUGUGUAAGUAACUAUGCACGUCUUGACGGUACCUACUCAGAAAGCAACGGCUAACUACGUG
rnacentral:rRNA from 1 species